rnacentral:rRNA from 1 species
UACGAAGGGUGCAAGCGUUACUCGGAAUUACUGGGCGUAAAGCGUGCGUAGGUGGUGAGUUAAGUCUGUCGUGAAAGCCCCGGGCUCAACCUGGGAAUGGCGAUGGAUACUGGCUCGCUAGAGUGCGGUAGAGGAGAGUGGAAUUCCCGGUGUAGCAGUGAAAUGCGUAGAGAUCGGGAGGAACAUCAGUUGCGAAGGCGACUCGCUGGACAAGUAUUGACGCUGAGGUGCGAAAGCGUGGGGAGCAAACAGG